CUAUACCAGGUACCAAUUAAGUACCUUAAAAGGAGGCUUUAUAAAUCCUAAAGGCUACCAAGAGUUUAACGUAAGGACUGUUAUAGCGAAGGUGGUUUUUCAGCUAAAAUUAUAUUGGUCAGUAAGGGAAUUGUCCGUGGGUGGUUUGUCAUCAAGGAGUAUAUUAGUAAAGAGGAUAGAGGGGCUGAAAAGGGCGGUGGCAGGGUGAUUGGGAGCAUGGGCAAUGUCAUGAGGGUGGGCAGCCGUUUCCUUCAAUAACAUUACAAAACGGCCUCCUACCACCAAUUCAGGGUCCUUGUGUCAGUGGGGGACAGUCCUCAGUCAUGGAAACAAUGAAUACCAAGUACACAGUACACUCAUUUCUCACAGAGUUGCACAUGGUUUUGGCAUAAAAAAAACAACAUGACGAUAUGGCGUUUCUCGAAACCCUAAUUCCCACCUCAGACUCACUCUCAUUUUCAGAGCUUCAGUAAUGUCCGCGGAUUGGCACUGCACAGUCGUCGCAAACAGACAGCGAUUCCGAAUGGGUCGGUGCAAUGUACCUGGAUAAGCCAUCCAGCUAUAUAAAUUGUCAGUCGUUGCUGAAAGCGGAAGGAUCAUUUUCGAUGGGUUACAAUCAGUCUGCAGCAGAAAGUGGAGACUAGACAGGUUUCAGAGUUGGCGUUUGUGCAUGUGUGCGGAGAGAGUGAGAGAUCGAGAGGGAGAUAGAGUCACUCCAGCGAUGCCCAAGCUUGGUUUGCCGUUUGAUGGUGAAGACAUAGCGCAUAUGCCUAACUGCGAACAUGGAGCUCACGUCAGUUGGUUGUUUACCCUGCCAUGUGUUCUUCAGAGAUCGAUCGGUCAGCUCGAAAGCGCCUCACCUACGACAUCGAUUGUUCACGUAUUCAUGAACAAGAGUGGGUUUAUUUACGCGGUGUGUGCUAUCGUGAUACCAAGCCCAUCAGAUUCGGUAAUAUUUCCCGCGACUGCUAAGUACCCUGGGGGGGUUGAGACAAGUGGCUAUGGUACUUGAGCCACAGGUUGCGCGUCCCGUGACAUUUGAAUAGACGUGACCAAUACCGCUGGUGCUGGGGUAUCUGCAGGAACUCACAACGAGAGGGGAAAAACAACCUACUGCAUUCAACUAAGAGUGAAAUUGCUGAGAGGGGAAAUAAGAACAAAAGCAAAACGGGCAUUAAGGCGCAUGCACCAACCAUUCCAAGAGUGAUGUAAUACCGCGCGUGAGUUGGUGAUCCCCCUUGCAGACAGCGUUAACUCCGUCCCUCCAGCUCCACAUCUGUCGAACUGAACGAAUGUCGAAGUAUUGUGGGUCCUAGGGAAUCCACAUUGAGAGCAUCAUAGCACCUGCACAUCACCAGAGACGUAAUCAUCAAUCAUCUUGCAUAAUCUACACAAUUUCUCCCUUCAAUCUUCACGAGGUGCUGCGUCGCGACAAGCGCAUGGAUGCCAGACUUGGAGUGGUGCCUGACGCAGUGUAGCACAGCUUCCUCUUAAAGAAGAACUACAAGGAGUACAAUAACGCAACCAGAGCUGGAACCUCUUCCGAUCAAAUGGAGACCUUGAUAUGCAGAUACUGAUCUGCAAUAUUACUUUUCGAAUCGACGAAACCUUUCUUUAGACUUAGAUCCGUAUAAUGAUUCAUACGAGAGAACUGUGGAGUUUAUAGAGCUUUGUUUCCUAAGGAUCAUAAUGGGAUAUAGUUUUAUUGGGAGAUGAUUGAAUGGUACCGUAUGGCCAUCUAUUUUAUUAAUUUUUUUUACACGAAAACGUGGUAUAUCCAAUGUAUUGAAUAGUUAUUGGAACUAACUCCGAAUACCCAAUUGGACGGAGUCAAGAGUACUAUUUGAAGUAAGUAAAAUUACUUCUAAAAAGGAUAUACUUUUUUAUAUUAUGAAAUCACUGAGUGGUACUCUAAAAUUCCAU